ACGGAAGGCAGCAGUGGGGAAUAUUGGGCAAUGGGCGCAAGCCUGACCCAGCAACGCCGCGUGAAGGAAGAAGGUCUUCGGAUUGUAAACUUCUUUUAUGAGGGACGAAGGACGUGACGGUACCUCCUGAAUAAGCCACGGCUACCUACGUGCCGGCAGCCGCGGUAAUACGUAGGUGGCGAGCGUUAUCCGGAUUUACUGGGUGUAAAGGGCGCGUAGGCGGGGAUGUAAGUCAGGUGUGUAAUCUAUGGGCUUAACUCAUAAACUGCACUUGAAACUGUAUCUCUUGAGUGCUGGAGAGGUAGAUGGAAUUCCUUGUGUAGCGGUGAAAUGCGUAGAUAUUAGGAAGAACACCAGUGGCGAAGGCGAUCUACUGGACAGUAACUGACGCUGAGGCGCGAGAGCGUGGGGAGCAAACAGGAUUAGAUACCCUGGUA
rnacentral:rRNA from 1 species